UACGUAGGAUGCAAGCGUUGUCCGGAAUUAUUGGGCGUAAAGAGCGCGCAGGCGGUAUGACAAGUCAGAUGUGAAAGAGGCCGGCUUAACCGGCAAGGGUCAUUUGAAAACUGUCAGACUAGAGUGCAGCAGAGGAUAGUGGAAUUCCCGGUGUAGUGGUGAAAUGCGUAGAUAUCGGGAGGAACACCAGUGGCGAAGGCGACUAUCUGGGCUGCAACUGACGCUGAGGCGCGAAGGCUAGGGUAGCAAACAGG
rnacentral:rRNA from 1 species